rnacentral:rRNA from 1 species
UACGUAGGGUGCAAGCGUUAAUCGGAAUUACUGGGCGUAAAGCGUGCGCAGGCGGUGAUGCAAGACAGAUGUGAAAUCCCCGGGCUCAACCUGGGAACUGCAUUUGUGACUGCAUAGCUAGAGUACGGUAGAGGGGGAUGGAAUUCCGCGUGUAGCAGUGAAAUGCGUAGAUAUGCGGAGGAACACCGAUGGCGAAGGCAAUCCCCUGGGCCUGCACUGACGCUCAUGCACGAAAGCGUGGGGAUCAAACAGG